GGUGGUGUAAAGGACCACCAAGCCUACGACGGGUACGGGCCCUGAGAGGGGGAGCCCGGAGAUGGACUCUGAGACACGAGUCCAGGCCCUACGGGGCGCAGCAGGCGCGAAACCUUCGCAAUGCGCGAAAGCGCGACGAGGGGAGCCCGAGUGCCCUUCCUUUUGGGAGGGCUUUUCCGGAGUGUAAAAAGCUCCGGGAAUAAGGGCUGGGCAAGGCCGGUGGCAGCCGCCGCGGUAAUACCGGCGGCCCGAGUGGUGGCCGCUAUUAUUGGGCCUAAAGCGUCCGUAGUCGGGCCCGUAAGUCCCUGGCGAAAUCCCACGGCUCAACCGUGGGGCUUGCUGGGGAUACUGCGGGUCUUGGGACCGGGAGAGGCGGGGGGUACCCCUGGGGUAGGGGUGAAAUCCUAUAAUCCCAGGGGGACCGCCAGUGGCGAAGGCGCCCCGCUGGAACGGGUCCGACGGUGAGGGACGAAGGCCAGGGGAGCAAACCGGAUUAGAUACCCGGGUAGUCCUGGCUGUAAAGGAUGCGGGCUAGGUGUCGGGUGAGCUUCGAGCUCGCCCGGUGCCGUAGGGAAGCCGUUAAGCCCGCCGCCUGGGGGAGUACGGCCGCAAGGCUGAAACUUAAAGGAAUUGGCGGGGGAGCACUACAAGGGGUGGAGCGUGCGGUUUAAUUGGAUUCAACGCCGGAAACCUUA
rnacentral:rRNA from 1 species